ACCCUGAUGGAGCAAUGCCGCGUGUGUGAAGAAGGCCUGAGGGUUGAAAAGCACUUUCAGUGGGGAGGAGGAUUACUAGGUUGAGAGCCAGGUAAUUGGACGUUACCCACAGAAGAAGCACCGGCUAACUCCGUGCCAGCAGCCGCGGUAAU
rnacentral:rRNA from 1 species